rnacentral:misc_RNA from 1 species
GCCAACAUGAAUAUGGUGCCGCAGAGACCGCAAAUGGAGUGAAUCCAUUAGUACAUAAUCCCAACCUAAUGUUUCUAGGUUCACUAGCAAAGUUAGGAAACACUCUAUCAAAAUGCUUCCAUGCCAUAGAACACUAGGUGGCCUUUUAUGUUCAUAAUCUCAUCUCAUAUGAAGAGCCGAUCUCAUUGAUGCAUAUAACCUAUUU